AACGCGAAGAACCUUACCUGGGCUCGAAAUGUAGUGGAAUCCGGUAGAAAUAUCGGCGUCUAGCAAUAGACCGCUAUAUAGGUGCUGCAUGGCUGUCGUCAGCUCGUGUCGUGAGAUGUUGGGUUAAGUCCCGCAACGAGCGCAACCCUUACCUCUAGUUGCUACCAUUUAGUUGAGCACUCUAGCGGAACCGCCUCGGAUAACGGGGAGGAAGGUGGGGAUGACGUCAAGUCCUCAUGGCCUUUAUGUCCAGGGCUACACACGUGCUACAAUGGCCGGUACAAACCGCUGCAAACCCGCGAGGGGGAGCUAAUCGGAAAAAGCCGGCCUCAGUUCGGAUUGGAGUCUGCAACUCGACUCCAUGAAGCUGGAAUCGCUAGUAAUCGUGGAUCAGCAUGCCACGGUGAAUACGUUCCCGGGCCUUGUA
rnacentral:rRNA from 1 species